rnacentral:rRNA from 1 species
GACGAACGCUGGCGGCGUGCCUAAUACAUGCAAGUUGAGCGCUGAAGGUUGGUACUUGUACCAACUGGAUGAGCAGCGAACGGGUGAGUAACGCGUGGGGAAUCUGCCUUUGAGCGGGGGACAACAUUUGGAAACGAAUGCUAAUACCGCAUAAAAACUUUAAACACAAGUUUUAAGUUUGAAAGAUGCAAUUGCAUCACUCAAAGAUGAUCCCGCGUUGUAUUAGCUAGUUGGUGAGGUAAAGGCUCACCAAGGCGAUGAUACAUAGGCGACCUGAGAGGGUGAUCGGCCAAAUUGGGAAUGGGAACCGGCCCAAAAUGCUACGGGAGGGAGCAGUAGGGAAACUUCGGCAAAGGACGAAAGGCUGAACGAGCAACGCCGCGUGAGUGAAGAAGGUUUUCGGAUCGUAAAACUCUGUUGGUAGAGAAGAAAGUUGGUGAGAGUGGAAAGCUCAUCAAGUGACGGUAACUACACAGAAAGGGACGGCUAACUACGUG